UUCCCCGCCCUCCCUCUCAGGAUGUACCUCUGAUCAGCCUGGCCAACAUCUUCCAGAACGCACGGCUGUGGGAGGACGCUCUGACCGUGGCCCGCAUGGCUGUGGAGAUCGCCCCGCACUUCGUUGUCAACCACUUCACCCUCGCCAACGUCUACAUCGCCAUGGAGGAGUUUGAGAAGGCCAUGCGCUGGUAUGAGUCCACUCUGGAGCUGCAGCCAGAGUUUGCCCCUGCCAAGGACCGCCUGAGAACCAUCCAGUGUUACCUGCUAACCAAGAAGGAGCGCCGUCUACCCUGAGACAACUCCACAGAAGCCCUCGGCACACACACACACCAUA